rnacentral:RNase_P_RNA from 1 species
GGAGCGGAUCGGGUGAUCGCCCGUUCCCUGACGGGGACGGGAGGAAAGUCCGGGCUUCAUAUAGCGGCGCAGCGGGUAACGCCCGUCCGCCUUAAGGCGAGGAUAAGAGCCACAGAGACGAGUCUGCUUCGCCCUUCUGUGGGGCGAAGCAGGGUGAAACGCGGCAAUCUCUGCGUGAAGCAAGGCCAAAUAGGGAAGGAACCGGAAAAGUCCGGUCCGUGCGGACAGACCGGUACGGGGCAGCUAGUCCCGUCAUACUUCCGGGUAGGCCGCAGGAAUACGCCAGUAAUGGCGUAUCCAGAUGGAUGGUCACCAUCUUCCGGAGCCUGGCCGUGCAACGGCCCGGUAAUGGAGGUGACAGAACCCGGCUUACAGAUCCGCUUCAGUU